rnacentral:rRNA from 1 species
GAUGGACGCUGGCGGCGUGCCUAAUACAUGCAAGUCGAGCGAACGGACGAGAAGCUUGCUUUUCUGAUGUUAGCGGCGGACGGGUGAGUAACACGUGGAUAACCUACCUAUAAGACUGGGAUAACUUCGGGAAACCGGAGCUAAUACCGGAUAAUAUUUUGAACCGCAUGGUUCAAAAGUGAAAGACGGUCUUGCUGUCACUUAUAGAUGGAUCCGCGCUGCAUUAGCUAGUUGGUAAGGUAACGGCUUACCAAGGCAACGAUGCAUAGCCGACCUGAGAGGGUGAUCGGCCACACUGGAACUGAGACACGGUCCAGACUCCUACGGGAGGCAGCAGUAGGGAAUCUUCCGCAAUGGGCGAAAGCCUGACGGAGCAACGCCGCGUGAGUGAUGAAGGUCUUCGGAUCGUAAAACUCUGUUAUUAGGGAAGAACAUAUGUGUAAGUAACUGUGCACAUCUUGACGGUACCUAAUCAGAAGGCCACGGCUAACUACGUG